GCGGCUGUAGCUCAGGGGUAGAGCAUCUCGUUGCCAACGAGAAUGUCGCGGGUUCGAUCCCCGCUAGCCGCUCCA
rnacentral:tRNA from 1 species